GACGAACGCUGGCGGCGUGCUUAACACAUGCAAGUCGAACGGAAAGGCCCUGCUUUUGUGGGGUGCUCGAGUGGCGAACGGGUGAGUAACACGUGAGUAACCUGCCCUUGACUUUGGGAUAACUUCAGGAAACUGGGGCUAAUACCGGAUAGGAGCUCCUGCUGCAUGGUGUGGGUUGGAAAGUUUCGGCGGUUGUGGAUGGACUCGCGGCUUAUCAGCUUGUUGGUGGGGUAGUGGCUUACCAAGGCUUUGACGGGUAGCCGGCCUGAGAGGGUGACCGGCCACAUGGGGACUGAGAUACGGCCCAGACUCCUACGGGAGGCAGCAGUGGGGAAUAUUGCACAAUGGGCGGAAGCCUGAUGCAGCAACGCCGCGUGCGGGAUGGCGGCCUUCGGGUUGUAAACCGAUUUCGCCUGUGACGAAGCGUGAGUGACGGUAAUGGGUAAAGAAGCACCGGCUAACUACGUG
rnacentral:rRNA from 1 species